AGCUCGAGAUGGCUGUGAUCUUUGGAAAGCUCAUCUGUUAAAAGAAAAAACAUGGAUUUGAACUCUGAAGUGCACACGGGCAGCUCACAGGGCUCCAGAUCCCGAGGGAGGAGGCCCUAUCAGACCGCCACUCUUGCCACGCUCCUCCCUGCCUCGCCUGCUCACCUGUGGCUGCAUCACAGACAUUCACUAGAAGAACAUACAGAUCCAUCAGCAGGACAGACAGAUGUUCAGAUCAGGCAGGUCCUACAAGAGCAAAUGACCCCCGUCAGCCGGAAGCUGCCUUCUCAGCGGCCAGCUGGCCAGCAGCACAGCCACCAAGCCCAAGCCUCCUGCCCGUGAGGGUGGAAGGACAUGCCGGACCCGUGCACACUGAGGACACACGCACACGGCCACUCCAGGUACUCGGAUCUGAUUGGUGAGAGAUGUGCAAGGUAUGACCUGUUUCAAGAAGUCCCACCUCUCCUGCUUUGGCAUUAAGAGACACAGGCAGCUCCCCUGGGGGCCGCCCACCACCUACAUACAGUGAGUCUCGAGGGUUUGCGUGGUGUAAGAAUAUAUCCUGGACCUCCUCAGAACUGGGGGGGCUUUUCUGUUGUGUGUUAUGUUUGGGGCUGUCUUCUUCCAGCCCGUCCAGCAUGUGGGGCAGGCACAGCCGGGGGCUGGAUGCGUGAGCUCUGGAGCCACACUGCCUGGGUGGCUGUUCCUUCUCCACUGUGGUCUGGCUGGGUAGCCUUGGGAGAGUUGCUUAACCUCUCUGUUUCUCAAUUUCCUCAUCUGUCAAAUGGGGGUGGAUAAUGGACCUACGUCUUAAAAUUAUUGGAAGGGUUCAAUCAAUCAAUACAAGAUAGGUCUAAAACGGUGCUGGUCAGAGAGGAAGAACAGUCAGGAUCAGCUCUUAAGCGCCGUGGUCCUGCGAACGGUCAGUUCUCGAAAGUGAAGGAUGAACUGUCCAUGUGUGUUUCAUCCUGAGUAUCUAUAGUCC